UAAAACACCUUCCACUGUGACUGGGCUGUCUGUUUGCGCCAUUCACAGUGUCUCCUGAUAGCACACACUGGUUCUAAAACAUUGGGUGGCCUAGGUACUGGAAGGAUUCUAGCCUUUAAGUGAGCCACACAGUA
ensembl:snoRNA Gm24937 predicted gene, 24937